UUUUGUAUAAUGGGUCAGCGAGUUAGUCUGGCAGGCAAGCUUAAGCCGUGAGGUGUAGGCGUAGCGAAAGCGAGUCUUAAUAGGGCGAAUGAGUACGUAGCAUUAGACCCGAAGGCAAGUGAUCUAGAUAUGGGCAGGCUGAAGGUGCAGUAACAUGCACUGGAGGGCCGAACCGUUGAGCGUUGAAAAGCUCUCGGAUGACCUGUGUCUAGGGGUGAAAGGCCAAUCAAACUCGGAA
rnacentral:rRNA from 14 species